rnacentral:lncRNA from 1 species
ACUUUGUUCACAGGGGGUUCACACACAGCACCAAGCCCUCAAGAGCCAUCAAAUAUCAACAACUAUACUGUGAUGGUGGCUGUAACAUCAACAGUCUUUGCCUGUUUGCUUGUGGCUCUAGUGCUGGCCCUGGUGAAAAUCCGCCUCUGUGUCAGAAAACAGAAAAUCCAAAACACGCGCAAAAUUGAGCUUGAGAGCCAGUAUGCUGCGUAUGCAGAAAUUGUGGACAUUGAGUACCCAUAUUCUGUAGUCCAUCAUGUUCCUGAGGGCAUGUGCACAUUUAAGGACCAGUGAGAAGAUCUCAGCCCACAUAGCUAAAUGUGGCUAUAUGAGUGGCAUACGUGACAAGAUCUGUUUUUGUUCUUUUGUAAUUCUCUUUUUUAUAUUUUAAGAAAUGUUUAAAUAAUUAAGUAUCUUGUUUUGUCACAGGGCCCUUUAUGAUAUUGUAUAUAAAUGUUAAGUUCAUUAUGUUCAGAACAACAUAUUGUUUUUAAUAACUGCAUGUUUUGUGUGGUUUAUUGUGAUUAGACACAAGGAAAAAAAUGUAACUUAAUCUAAGGCAGUCUGAUAAGAAAACAAACAAACUAACAAAAUAUAUAUAUAUUAUGCACAAAUCAACAAGAAAUGAGUUCCAUCUACUACAGUAUAGGACAUGCAGUGUAUGAUACAUGAUUAGGAAGACAUCAUGAUCUUUAAAGGUCUUUAGUUCAGGGAUUUUUCCUAACAAUUUUUAAAACUUAAACUAAUCUAAAUAUGAUGUUUGUUUUAAUGUUAAUGUGUUUACUUGUGAAUUAUUGUACAUUUUUGUAAGAUAAAAUCAUCCUAAUUGACAAGUUAAAUUUUGACUUUUCUUUUUUUUCAGUGAUAGUGAUAAUUCACAAAUAACAGUAGUCCUACUAUCCUAGAGGUGGACCCACACCAACUAAAACAUCAUUUAAAAAUGUUUGGGGGCUCAAGUAAAUUAGUUAAUACAUAAACAUAUGUAUUUUUAAUUUAUUUAGAUGUAUGAACAAAUCACAGAGCUCUUUGCUCAUCAAGUUUUUUUUUUUGGAUGCAGCUUACAGUGAUGCACAUACAUACAGCCAAACAAAUGAUAAAACUAAAGAAGCAAGUAAAUCAAAAACAACAUUAAUAAAGUAUAGAUUAAACUUAAAACA